rnacentral:rRNA from 1 species
GAUGAACGCUGGCGGCGUGCCUAAUACAUGCAAGUCGAGCGAACAGACGAGGAGCUUGCUCCUCUGACGUUAGCGGCGGACGGGUGAGUAACACGUGGAUAACCUACCUAUAAGACUGGGAUAACUUCGGGAAACCGGAGCUAAUACCGGAUAAUAUAUUGAACCGCAUGGUUCAAUAGUUAAAGACGGUUUUGCUGUCACUUAUAGAUGGAUCCGCGCCGCAUUAGCUAGUUGGUAAGGUAACGGCUUACCAAGGCGACGAUGCGUAGCCGACCUGAGAGGGUGAUCGGCCACACUGGAACUGAGACACGGUCCAGACUCCUACAGGAGGCAGCAGUAGGGAAUCUUCCGCAAUGGGCGAAAGCCUGACGGAGCAACGCCGCGUGAGUGAUGAAGGUCUUCGGAUCGUAAAACUCUGUUAUUAGGGAAGAACAAAUGUGUAAGUAACUAUGCACGUCUUGACGGUACCUAAUCAGAAAGCCACGGCUAACUACGUG